rnacentral:rRNA from 1 species
UACAGAGGUCUCAAGCGUUGUUCGGAUUCAUUGGGCGUAAAGGGUGCGUAGGCGGCGGGGUAAGUCAGGUGUGAAAUCUCGGGGCUCAACCCCGAAACUGCACUUGAUACUGCCUCGUUGAGGUACUGGAGAGGAGACUGGAAUUUCACGGUGUAGCAGGUGAAAUGCGUAGAUAUCAGAUGAAUGAAGACCGAGUCGGCGAAG